AGCAACGACGCAAGGGCUAACCUGGAAAGCCGGAUACUGCGAAAGUGUGCGCCGUGGCACACACGGAGUGAAUUGCCCCUGGAGGGGGCCGAAGUUCAGAGGAGAUGACUUCGAGGUGAACGACUAACCGGACCCCGAAAGGGCGAAGGGACAAGA
rnacentral:misc_RNA from 1 species